rnacentral:lncRNA from 1 species
GUGUGCUUUCUUAUCAGUGUGCUGUGGGCUAUAGUGCCAGUGUAACAGCAGAGGGCAACUUCAUGGGGUCUGUGCAAGUCCAGGGCUAGCAGGGCAAUGUGUGCUGACACAGCUACUGCUCUACGGUUAGAUGCAAUCUUUCUGUGUAAGCACACCCUGUUUGCACCCUUCAGAAGGGGAUGAUGGCCCACAGCCUGCUGACUUGCUCACCAUCUCCAUGUAAAUGCAACCAGAUUGUCUUCGGGCAUGGAAGAGCUGGAAGGCUGCCACAGGUCCCAGCACAGUUGGCCAUCAUCUCCUCUGUUCUCUGGAGUUUCUAUUUGAAUCAACAUCCAAAGACACAGAAACACAGAAACUGCUAAAGGACAUACUCAAAUUUGAGGUAGAGUCCAAGCCAGGAGGUCAAUGAAAUUCAAGGUGGGGGCAUCCUUGAAUCACCUAUGCCCACGUCAGCUGAGAAGCAGCCAGAGUGCUUCUCCCCUAGGACUGCUGUACUUUGUCCUACAUCAGGCCUUUGCAAGUCACAUCAGAAUGUCCAGAGUUAUCCUCCCACUGCUGCGAGGGUUCACUGCCCCUAUGAAUCAGACACAGCACACAGGCAAAAAAAAUAACGUUGCCAUCCCAACAGCUUGCAGUCAAAAUCAGAGAAGAGAAAAAGCAGAGUGAUAAAACAAACAGAAGAGAAAAGGCAGUUCAAUUGGUAACGUAGCAAUGUUAGGUGAUGUUCCAUAACCCCGAUCUGUAAGGACAGCUCCUGCCCUCACUGCGCAGCCAUUCAGCUCUGAUACCUGUUGAAGCUCCAGAGGCAAAUCAUCUGAACUGUUGGGUUUUUUUGUUGUUGUUUUGACAAAACCGUGCCUUCAGUCUGCUCCUCGUUUUCCUUUUGAAUUGUCGAAGAUGGAGAUUUCACCUUCCCUUUGAGAGCUGAUUCCAGUGGUUACUCAAUUCAUGUGUUAAAAUACAGCGUCUAAUUUCUGAUUCAAAUUCUUCUGCUUUCAGCUUCUAGCAACUGCCUCUUGUAUACUCUUCCCAGUUAAUUUAUGUAACUGUUUAGUAUCCUGCAUUUUUUCAACACAAAGGUACUUAAUGGCCAUAAUUGAUCCCCAGUUUUUGGCUUCCAGCUCGGACCACUGAGCUAUCACUGCUGCAGCUAGAGCCAUCAGUGCCAACAUUCUGCCUUCACUGUGGCACAGGGGCGCCAUGUUGGACACUGCCCCACCAGCUGCUCCGCAUUCCUGCAGGG